rnacentral:rRNA from 1 species
UCGGGAAUUUUGGGCAAUGGGCGAAAGCCUGACCCAGCAACGCCGCGUGAAGGAUGAAGUAUUUCGGUAUGUAAACUUCGUAAGAAUAGGAAGAAUAAAUGACGGUACUAUUUGUAAGGUCCGGCUAACUACGUGCCAGCAGCCGCGGUAAUACGUAGGGACCAAGCGUUGUUCGGAUUUACUGGGCGUAAAGGGCGCGUAGGCGGUGUGUCAAGUCAGUUGUGAAAUCUCCGAGCUUAACUCGGAACGGUCAACUGAUACUGCCACACUAGAGUACAGAAGGGGCAAUCGGAAUUCUUGGUGUAGCGGUGAAAUGCGUAGAUAUCAAGAGGAACACCUGAGGCGAAGGCGGGUUGCUGGGCUGAUACUGACGCUGAGGCGCGAAAGCUAGGGUAGCAAACGGGAUUAGAUACCCCCGUAGUCCCUGAGCGGGCUGGCAAGGCGCAU